rnacentral:rRNA from 1 species
UACGUAGGGUGCAAGCGUUUGUCCGGAUUUACUGGGCGUAAAGAGCGCGUAGGCGGCUCGUUAAGUGAGAAGUGAAAGCUGUGGGCUCAACCCACAAACCGCUUUUCAUACUGGCGAGCUGGAGUGAUGCAGAGGUGGAUAGAAUUCCCGGUGUAGCGGUGAAAUGCGUUGAUAUCGGGAGGAAUACCCGUGGCGAAGGCGGUCCACUGGGCAUCAACUGACGCUGAGGCGCGAAAGCGUGGGUAGCAAACAGG